GAUUGUUGAGGUCGGAAAGGUUCCCGACACACUCCGCAUAUGUGGAGUACCUGAGAUGCAGGAUACACCGCCCUGCCAUCAAUC
rnacentral:ncRNA from 1 species